UGGAAUUCAGUGUCUGAGAUGGAAAUUACA
rnacentral:piRNA from 1 species